CAAUAGCGUAUAUUAAAGUUGUUGCAGUUAGAACGCUCGUAGUCGGAUUUCGGGGCGGGCCGACCGGUCUGCCGAUGGGUAUGCACUGGUCGGCGCGUCCUUCCUUCCGGAGACCGUCCCUACUCUUAACGGAGCGGGGGCGGGAGACGGGACUUUUACUUUGAAAAAAUCAGAGUGUUUCAAGCAGGCAGCUCGCUCUUGCAUGGAUUAGCAUGGGAUAAUGAAAUAGGACUUUGGUGCUAUUUUGUUGGUUUCGAACACCGAAGUAAUGAUGAGAAGGGACAGUCAGGGGCACUCGUAUUCCGCCGAGAGAGGUGAAAUUCUCAGACCAGCGGAAGACGAACCACUGCGAAAGCAUUUGCCAGGGAUGUUUUCACUGA
rnacentral:rRNA from 1 species